UUCAUCUGAGUGGUUCUGGUGUAAUGGCCUUUGGUUUCAUUAUACUCACAUGCAUCCUAGCAUUCGGAGCAUAUUGGACGACCAAGUACAUGAUAAUGCCCGGUGAAAUAUAUAUAAAAAAUUAUAGAGGCGCAUCUGCAGAAACGACAUCAGCUACCACCGCGACCGUUGAGACCACCAUAGGAUCCGACAUAGGAGAUAUAACAGAACCAAACAUUGGAAACAACACGUCCUCUUUUGACGUUUUUGAUUCAUAAUUAAAUUGCCAAUUUUAUUCUUAAAACGUUAUUAACAAAUAUUAUAUUUGUUUGUUAUAUAAUUUGUGUCAAAACAGUCGCAGGAUGUUUGUUAAAUUAGUGGUUAUAAAAACUGUUUGUGCAUAUUUUGCGCGUAAGAUUGAAUUAAUAUUUUGGCGAGGUGCAGGUGUGAAGUGUAAAAUGGUUGUCGCUGGAACCCUUCUGAUAUUUGGUGCUCUCAUGGUAACCCUGCUAUUGGGUACAAGACAUUUAUUUCAAAUGGAUCGCUUCAAUAAUGAAAUACCCAUCACUAAUCUUACAGGAAUUGAUGAACAAAAUAAAUAUGUGAAACUAGUUUUGCGAAGGGCCAAAAGGAAUGUCAUUAUGUAA